UCAAUAAAAUGGCUAAAAAGUGAAAAGUGGUUCACCCAGGGCGAGAAUCAGCCAUUGCACUCUGGCUCUGCUGACCCCUGUGAAUUCCCCAGAUGUGGGAAUCUCGACUGCAUAAUAUCUGGUAGUGGGGGACUGCGUCCACGCUCUCCCCUG
rnacentral:snRNA from 1 species